GAGAGACAAAAGGCAUGUCCAAAGCACAGAAGCAAACAACAGAGGUAGAAACAACAAAGCACUGCUCCGGGAAAGCCAGGACCACUUUCCCUCACUUCUAUUUGACUCCUUCAAAAGCGAUGUCCCACUCAAUGUGAACAGCACAUUGUGGAUGCAAGAUGCUAAUGGCGGCGAUCAAUUAUUCACCAGCUAAUCUGUCUGAAGAGGCACUGGAAUGUGGAAUAGGCUCAUCAUGGACCCGCAUUAAUAUUCAGUCAACAGGCCUCACUCUGCACUGCCUACAUGUCAUAUCAGACCCAAGCCCUCCUCAAAGGAGCGAUGUCUAAAUGAGAGCUUUCAAGAGGCUGCUUCUGGAAAUGGACAAUGUCUUUUCACAGAUUAGCUAUUGUUUAAUGCACAGUGAACAUUUUGUAGCACAAAGGACAAUUGCUGCUCGGUUAUGUUUAAUAGUGAUGUUAAAAAGUUGUACAUUUUAUGCAAUGUGAGCGUCCGUUCAAAACACCACCAGUGUUAUGGGUGGUUGCCAGGGCAUUGCUAUGCAGUUGCUGAAGUAUCUAUAAUAUCUGGUGCAUAGACAGAGUGUAAGUAUAUUUGAGAGUUUUGCUCAUUUUAUGAUCCACAAGGUGAAAAAAGUUGGUCAAAACUCUUAGAAAAUUAAGAGAAUGGACUGCACUGACUAUAUGAACAAAAGCACUGAGACAUUUCUUUAAAUAUCUUAUUUUAUGUUCCAUGGAAGAAUGAAAGUCAUACAGGUUUAGAAAUUGGAAUGGCAUGAGGGUAAGUAAAUUAUGACUGUUUUUUUAAAGGAUUUAUUUAAAUGAGUAUGAGCAGUUUAUAAUAGUGAUCGUUUCCUUAGCAAACACCACUAAUAAAUGUCAAAAAACGUGUUUUACUUUAUUACAAUGAAAAGGAAUGGAUCUCAGAAAAGAUGCUUACUAAUAUAUAUAUAAAAAAUAAUUGAAUCACUCCAAACUAUACUAUAGACACACACUAUUGACAUUUCCCAGUACAUUGCCUUUUUUGUUUGUUUGUUUGUUGCAGAUUGUGUUCCCUUGCGUUAGAUCACUGGGUCAGCUCCUGUUCAUGUUACUCACAAAGAAAAUGGCAAAUGUUUGACGGGCGGGGGAUUCCUCUACAAGCACCUGUUCUGCCUCACACAUGCAGAAUUUCCCUAUGCAAUUCUCAUUAUUCAAGCCUGAAGCACACUUUACGGACGUUACAUAUUUGAUGUUGGAUUGCUUCCCAAAACAUGUAUUUAUAUGCAUGCAGGUACAAAUUGAAAGAAUGCAUUGUAAUAUCCACAUUGAUUUUUUUAUAUAAACAUAAGAUUAAAAACA